rnacentral:misc_RNA from 1 species
UAGAGUUGCGGGCUUUGCCUGCCAUCUCUUACCCAUGUCUUUUGAGUACUUACGUUUCCUCGGCGGGUCCGCCCGCCGAAGACAAUUUAAACCCUUUGCAGUUGCAAUCAGCGUCUGAAAAAACAUAAUAAUUACAACUUUCAACAACGGAUCUCUUGGUUCU